UUGGUGCCGGAGUCUCAGUGACAAAAAGCUCCUGCUCGGUGCCCAGCGCCUGGCGGCGGUGUCCGACCGCGAACGCAGAGGGCGGCCACGCAGGUGGGGGUGUAGCCCGAAGGGCCGGGCCGGGAGCUGGGGCUGCAGGCUCCGCCGCUGCGCUGUCAGCGCCUGCCCCGUGGCUCUCGGCUGGAGGAGCGGCGGCCGCCUGCCCGGGGCGCGCGUCUGGCUGAGCGGGGCUGGCGCGUCGGGACCACCUGGCGAUGCUGUCGCCGCUGCCGCCGCCUCUGUAGCGAGCGCCCAAGCCCGCCGCGGAGAAAGGCUGAAGAAAGCUCAGUCUCAAUUGUGUUUCCUGCCUGUCAGCCUCUUGCCUCCUAAACGCGUACCAUUUCCACUUGAUGUCAUCAUGCAGAAGGGGGUGAAAGAGACUCGGUGACAGAUUCAGGAGUUUGGAUGAAUGAAUGGAGGCUCGAACAAGCAAAGGAACAGACAAAUGAUUAACACGUGAGUUUGUUGGGAUUGCUUAGGGUGUGUGUUAGUGGAC
rnacentral:lncRNA from 1 species